rnacentral:rRNA from 1 species
GACAGAGGAUGCAAGCGUUAUCCGGAAUUAUUGGGCGUAAAGAGCUCGUAGGCGGUGUGUCACGUCGGCCGUGAAAACCUGGGGCUUAACUCUGGGCGUGCGGUCGAUACGGGCAGACUGGAGUACUGCAGGGGAGACUGGAAUUCCUGGUGUAGCGGUGGAAUGCGCAGAUAUCAGGAGGAACACCGGUGGCGAAGGCGGGUCUCUGGGCAGUAACUGACGCUGAGGAGCGAAAGCGUGGGGAGCGAACAGG